GCCCUACUGGCGUAGUGGAAGCGCGUAAGACUUCUAAGAAUUUAGAGGCAUCUUAAGGUCGCGAGUUCGAAUCUCGCGUGGGGUU